rnacentral:misc_RNA from 1 species
UUUGAAUAAUUUUUUUUCCAAAAAAAAAUUAUUGAAUGUCUUUCCCUGUUUUGGUGGAGCUUGUAAAGUGAAACCAGGCAGGGGAAUGGCAAACAGUAAUUAUUUUUGAAAAAGACCUUUUUUAAAAUUAAACUUUUUGUAUUCAUUUGUCUAAAAUUAUUUUUAUAAUAUAAAAACAACUUUUGACAAUGGAUCUCUUGGCUCUCGCAACGAUGAAGAACGCAGCAAAAUGCGAUAAGUAGUGUGAAUUGCAGAAUACGUGAAUCAUCGAAUCUUCGAACGCAUAUUGCACUUUUUUAGUUUACUAAAAAAGUAUGUCUGUUUGAGUAUCAGUAAAAUAUUCUCAUAAAAAAUUUAUUUUUUAUGGUUAUGAGUGUUUUACAACGAUAACAAGUUGUUUCACUUUAAAUUCUUUGUUAUCAAAAAAAUCAUUAAAAGCUAAUUUUAAAGAUUUUUUAAAAUUGGAUAAAAUUUUCCCGUAAAAAGGAAUAACCUAAACAAUUUUAAAAAAUUAAAAUUGGUUUGAUUUUUCUUGAUUUAAAAAGGAAAAAAAAGUAAAAAUUAACUUGAUCUCAAAUCAGAUAAGAGUACCCGCUGAACUUAAGCAUAUCAAUAAGCGGAGGAAAAGAAACUAACUAGGAUUCCCUCAGUAACGGCGAGUGAAGCGGGAAGAGCUCAAAUUUGAAAUCUUCAAGGUUUUACCUUGACGAAUUGUAGUUUAAAGAAGUGUUUUCUGUUGGAGUUUUGGUAAAAGUUCUUUGGAAAAGGACAUCAUAGAGGGUGAGAAUCCCGUAUCUGACCAUUAUCUCCAGCUUUGUGAUACACUUUCAAAGAGUCGGAUUGUUUGGGAAUGCAGUCCAAAAUGGGUGGUAAAUUUCAUCUAAAGCUAAAUACUGGCGAGAGACCGAUAGCGAACAAGUACCGUGAGGGAAAGAUGAAAAGAACUUUGAAAAGAGAGUUAAACAGUACGUGAAAUUGUCAAAAGGGAAGCGUUUGACACCAGUGUUGUUUUCUCGAAAAUCAAUUAAAAAAGGCCGGAUUUUGUGUUGUAUUGACUUUAUCAGCUUUCUGCACUUUUUUCUUGUCUUUUUCAAUGCACUUUUCGUUUAACAAGUCAACAUCAAUUUCUUUUGUUGUAAAAGGGUCAUUGGAAGGUGGCUUUCUUUUCGGAGAAGUGUUUAUAGCCUUUGGCCUCUGCAAUCGGAGAGAUUGAGGUCUGCAGCGUAGAUCCUUCGGGUUAGAUACAUUUGUGCUAAGUUAUAGCCUCUCAU